rnacentral:misc_RNA from 1 species
GUGAAUCAUCGAAUUUUUGAACGCAUAUUGCACUCUCUGGUAUUCCGGAGAGUAUGCCUGUUUGAGGGUCAGUAAUAAUAAAAUCGGGGUGUUGCUUUCUUUGUGACGCACCGGAGAUUGGGCUACCUUUAACUUUCGGGUUUAAGAUGCUUAAAAUUGAACUUUUUUGCGCACUUUUAGACGUACAUAAAUUUAUUUUAUCGUUUAUUUUGGUUCCAAUUAUCUAUUAGGUGCUAUCAUGUUAUAUGAUCUCUUGCCUAUAAUUUCUCAUCUUUUUACCUCAAAUCAGUUAAGGCCACC